rnacentral:rRNA from 1 species
GACGAACGCUGGCGGCGUGCUUAACACAUGCAAGUCGAACGGAAAGGCCUGCUUUCCCUUGUGGAUUGCGGGUGCUCGAGUGGCGAACGGGUGAGUAACACGUGAGUGAUCUGCCCCCAACUUGGGGAUAAGCCUGGGAAACUGGGUCUAAUUCCCGAUAGGACUGCAGGGUGGUGCCUGUGGUGGAAAACGAUUUUCUAGUGGUUGGGGAUGAGCUCGCGGCCUAUCAGCUUGUUGGUGGGGUAAUGGCCUACCAAGGCGGCGACGGGUAGCCGGCCUGAGAGGGUGGACGGCCACAUUGGGACUGAGAUACGGCCCAGACUCCUACGGGAGGCAGCAGUGGGGAAUAUUGCACAAUGGGCGGAAGCCUGAUGCAGCGACGCCGCGUGGGGGAUGACGGCCUUCGGGUUGUAAACUCCUUUCGACCGCGAGGAAGCCACCUGGUUGGAAGGGUGGUGACGGUAGUGGUAGAAGAAGCACCGGCUAACUACGUG